rnacentral:rRNA from 1 species
AGGGCACCACCAGGAGUGGAGCCUGCGGCUUAAUUUGACUCAACACGGGAAACCUCACCCGGCCCGGACACGGACAGGAUUGACAGAUCGAUAGCUCUUUCUCGAUUCCGUGGGUGGUGGUGCAUGGCCGUUCUUAGUUGGUGGAGCGAUUUGUCUGGUUAAUUCCGAUAACGAACGAGACUCUGGCAUGCUAACUAGUUACGCGACCCCCCGAGCGGUCGGCGUCCCCCAACUUCUUAGAGGGACAAGUGGCGUUCAGCCACCCGAGAUUGAGCAAUAACAGGUCUGUGAUGCCCUUAGAUGUCCGGGGCUGCACGCGCGCUACACUGACUGGCUCAGCGUGUGCCUACCCUACGCCGGCAGGCGCGGGUAACCCGUUGAACCCCAUUUGUGAUGGGGAUCGGGGAUUGCAAUUAUUCCCCAUGAACGAGGAAUUCCCAGUAAGUGCGGGUCAUAAGCUUGCGUUGAUUAAGUCCCUGCCCUUUGUACACACCGCCCGUCGCCACUACCGAUUGGAUG